AUAACAGAUUUACUAACUACAUCAAAACAAAAAAAAAAAUACAAAUAAGCAAGAUGAUUCUAUCAAAAUUAUUGUUGAUCCAAAUGUUGAUACCAUACCAGGGACUCCUCAAGAGAACGAAGACUACAUUAUUACUCCUUUUAUAGAACCAGUUAUUGUAAGAAGACUAGACUUUGAUAUUCCUCAUUUGAUUAAUACAGAUAAUAACCAAGAUGAUUUACAAAUAGAAGAUGACAUUAAUAAACAAAAAAACAGCAGGAAAAGAGAAAAUUAAAGAAAAUUGGGAGGAGAAUAAAACGACCUUACAGAGAUCUUAAGGAAAAGAAUAAACAUCUCCGAAAGGAAAAAUUAUUCCAGCAAAAUCUAUUAACAAACAUCAAUCGUAUCAGCUCCAAUGCCGUUUGCAAUUAUUCACAAAUGUAAAUAUUGAAUCAAGAAAUAAUUUAUUUAAUGCUUAUUAUAAAAUGGAUGUAAGUAUAAAAAAAAUUCAUAUAUUUUUAAGAGUAUAAAAAUUGGAAACAGCCUGUAAAACAGUUAGUAGUACACCAAAGAAAGUAAGAUCUCUCACAUUCCAAUAUUUUGUCAAAACCGAAGAAAAGGGCGUAAAAGUAUGUAAAACUGCUUUUUGUGAAAUUUAUCAAAUUGGUUGCAAAAAAAAAAAAUAGAAUUGAUUCAAAACCAACUCAAAUUUGAUGUUUCACCUCUUUUAAAUAGAAGAGGUAAACAUGAAAAUCGUCCAAAUAGGAUAUCUGACUUAACUAUUAAACACAUUAUGAAUCAUAUUGAUAGUUUUCCUGCCGAGUCAUCAUAUUAUUCAAGAAAUAAUAACCCAGGUUAGUUUCAAAUGCAUUUGAAGCCAAACACAAUGAUAAAACAAAAGUAUUACUAGACUACCAUUUGCUACCUAACUAUGGAAAUUCAACAAACCAUGCCACUACCUAAGAUUUCAACAUCAAAAGCUUUUUAUCUUCGCCAAUUAUGGUUUUAUAACUUUG